rnacentral:rRNA from 1 species
UGAGGAAUAUUGGACAAUGGACGCAAGUCUGAUCCAGCCAUGCCGCGUGCAGGAAGACGGCCCUAUGGGUUGUAAACUGCUUUUAUACAAGAAGAAUAAGACUUACGUGUAAGUUGAUGACGGUAUUGUAUGAAUAAGCACCGGCUAACUCCGUGCCAGCAGCCGCGGUAAUACGGAGGGUGCAAGCGUUAUCCGGAAUCAUUGGGUUUAAAGGGUCCGUAGGCGGGCUAAUAAGUCAGGGGUGAAAGUUUGCAGCUCAACUGUAAAAUUGCCUUUGAUACUGUUAGUCUUGAAUUAGUAGGAAGUGGUUAGAAUAAGUAGUGUAGCGGUGAAAUGCAUAGAUAUUACUU